rnacentral:rRNA from 1 species
UACGGAGGGUGCGAGCGUUGUCCGGAAUCAUUGGGCGUAAAGGGCGCGUAGGUGGCGGCUUAAGCGUGCGGUGAAAGCUCGGGGCUCAACCCCGGAGUCGGCCGUGCGAACUGAGUCGCUUGAGCACUGGUAGAGGCAGGCGGAAUUCCGGGUGUAGCGGUGGAAUGCGUAGAGAUCCGGAAGAACACCGGUGGCGAAGGCGGCCUGCUGGGCAGUAGCUGACACUGAGGCGCGGACAGCGUGGGGAGC